rnacentral:rRNA from 1 species
UACAGAGGUCCCAAGCGUUACUGAGAAUCACUGGGUUUAAAGGGUGCGUAGGUGGUCCGUUAAGUCAGUUGUGAAAUCCCCGGGCUCAACCCGGGAAAUGCUUCUGAUACUGGCGGACUUGAGGCCAGUAGGGGUCACUAGAACUGACGGUGGAGCGGUGAAAUGCGUAGAUAUCGUCAGGAAUGCCGGUGGUGAAGACGGGUGACUGGGCUGGUUCUGACACUGAGGCACGAAAGCGUGGGGAGCGAACGGGG